CAGCUCAGUGCUGGUGUUCAAACAGCGCAGUUGUGUUUCAUCCCGACUGUCGCCUCUCGGGGAUUAUCUAGCUGCCUCAGAAGAGGUCUGUGAAAAGGCCAGAAGAACAUGUGCCUCAGUGAGGGCUGGAAAUAUUAAAUUUUCUUUUCAUGUACUUCCCAGCUACAAGUCUGCCAGCAGUUCUUUUUUGUCUUCUUUUUCCUUUCUAUCCACUUCUGUGCAGUCAUGUCUUAAUUAAAACUGUAUUAAACACCGA